CCUACGGGUGGCUGCAGUGGGGAAUAUUGGACAAUGGGGGCAACCCUGAUCCAGCCAUGCCGCGUGUGUGAAGAAGGCCCUCGGGUUGUAAAGCACUUUCAGUGAGGAAGAACGCCUGGUGGUUAAUACCCAUCAGGAAAGACAUCACUCACAGAAGAAGCACCGGCUAACUCCGUGCCAGCAGCCGCGGUAAUACGGAGGGUGCUAGCGUUAAUCGGAAUUACUGGGCGUAAAGCGCGCGUAGGUGGCUUGAUAAGCCGGUUGUGAAAGCCCCGGGCUCAACCUGGGAACGGCAUCCGGAACUGUCAAGCUAGAGUGCAGGAGAGGAAGGUAGAAUUCCCGGUGUAGCGGUGAAAUGCGUAGAGAUCGGGAGGAAUACCAGUGGCGAAGGCGGCCUUCUGGACUGACACUGACACUGAGGUGCGAAAGCGUGGGUAGCAAACAGGAUUAGAUACCCGAGUAGUC
rnacentral:rRNA from 1 species